AGAAAAAAGAUCCUGUUUGCUGUGUAGAGAAUGGAUUGGAAGAGAAGAAGAGGGAGAUCAUGCAGGAAACUGUUGCAGAAGCCCAGACUUCCUGUUUGCUACCUUGUGGCGGAGCGCUUCCACACCAGCCCUUGGGGCCAGCCAGAACACUGACUGAGCCCAGUAUCUGGAUGGAGACCUGAGCUGGGAGAAAGAAGGUGCUCCUGGAAGGUAGCCCUUCCUGUCACAGUCGUGUCUGGCACAGGAGCACAAGG